ACAAGCUUUCGGGAGAACCUCCCUUUCUGAAAUGCUUCAGACUUGAGAAAGGGAGGUUCUCCCGAAAGCUUG